rnacentral:lncRNA from 1 species
UAAAAAGGUUCAGUACUUAGAACACAGAAAUAAUAAAAACAACAGAGUUAUGUCGCAACUCUGGUAUAGUGAUAUGCAGUGGGAUAUACAUAUGAAAUAUGUUGCAUUAUUUGUCUACCAUAUAAUACCUGAUGAAUCUAGUGUCUUAAAAUUAUGUUAAAGCUAAGGCUAUUUGGUGAAAAUUGUUUGCAGUUUAUUUUUUUACAAAUAAGUGAUACAAAUGCAUAAAACACAAAUUUCUUUUUUGGCAAGUCAUGAUGGCUGACGUUGUUCAUUGGUCAGGCAUCGACCAAUAAGAUUUCUUCAUUCAUACCAAAGCCCCGCCCCCAGCUCUGCCCUCUAUCAAAUGCACAAGUGAGUUUUGUAACAGGAAUACUGCAAUAGUCAGAGCGCUAGGAUUUGAACUUGUACUCCAGAUCUGAGAGGUUGUAAGUUGUGCAGCAAAUGUAAAUAUGUCGUAAAGAUUUGUGUAUGUCAUUUUUGUUGUGUUCUCACACAAGUGUUGUUUGAUAAUGCAUUAAACACAACUCUUUUUUUUUCUUUUAUGUGAAUGUCAUUCUACACAUUUGUAACUAUUCAUCUCCACGGGUGUUUUGAUCAUUGUCAGUGUGUGCAAAUUGAAAGAUUCAGCUUUUUACAUCGGAGCUGCCUGUGAGUGAUUUAAAAAAAAAAAGAGAGAGUUAAUAUGACAAGUUCUCACAUUAAGAUCAACAAGCGAGUUUUGCUACUGUUUUACCUUCAUAGAAACAUUUGUGACAACUAGCCCCGCUGCAGCGUGUUCGUGAUUGAUGCUGAUGAUGGAGUGUGACGCUGCGCGGACGCGACGAUCUGAUUGGCUGGACGCUCUUGCCGCGACGCUCUUGACGCGCUGUCCUGCAGCAGCGGCUCGGGGCAGACGCUCGCUCGCGGAGGUGAUGCUGAAGACGCUCUCGGCUUCUGUCAGAUCCGAGAGUUUUCCUAAAUGAUCAGCCGCACCUUGUUCAGUUCUGGUGUCU